rnacentral:rRNA from 1 species
GAUGAACGCUGGCGGCGUGCCUAAUACAUGCAAGUCGAACGCAUUGUGGUUGAAAUGAUAUGAAGAACUUGUUCAGAUUUGAUUUUCAACAUUGCAAUGAGUGGCGAACGGGUGAGUAACACGUGGGAAACCUACCUCUUAGCAGGGGAUAACAUUUGGAAACAAAUGCUAAUACCGUAUAAUAAUUAAAACCGCAUGGUUUAGUUCAAAAGAUGGUCUUGCUAUCACUAAGAGAUGGUCCCGCGGUGUAUUAGUUAGUUGGUGAGGUAAUGGCUCACCAAGACAAUGAUACAUAGCCGAGUUGAGAGACUGACCGGCCACAAUGGGACUGAGACACGGCCCAUACUCCUACGGGAGGCAGCAGUAGGGAAUCUUCCACAAUAGGACGAAAAGUCUGAUGGAG